GACUUACUUGAGACUGACUGUUGAUUCUCUUGGGCGGGGCACUUGGAGCUUUAUAAGGACAUUCCCCACUGCACCUUGCUUAAGAGCCCAUCAUAUUCUUCCCCCAACUCGACUAGAAUUGAAGUUCAUAUGCGCUUGAGCUUGCAGGUGCUGUUGUUUGUUAAGAAGUCAACCACUCAUUGAGGCUUACCCAGCAUAAUAUAAACCAAACGCACGUGUAGCGGUACCCUAACUCCCUGCUCAGCGGCAGAGGCACCAACUAUCCCUAUUGAAAAGAAUGGAAUUGUGUAAAGAACUGUAUGAUAUAAGAAAGAGUCAAAGAACAGCGAAACUCCAAAGCAAAGCUCACUGCUCACUCCAAUAACUUGAAGAAGAACAGAAACUCACUCCCCAGCCUCUAGCGUCGGCAAACUAUCUAACACACAAGAAGCUAACGCGCCUGCAUCCUAAUCUGCACUUCUUUACUUAUUGCUUCAAAAAGCCUCCAACUAAGUCCUUUGCCCUUAAGUAAUUGGUAGCGGCAGCCAAGUCCUUUUAGAGUCCUACGAGUUAUGAGUCCUGUGCCCUUAAGUAAUUGGGUGUAUUACCCAUUUUCUGCAUUAGUAGAAGACUGAGAAUUGAACAAGCCUUUUCCUGUUACUGAGGGUAUGACCCAUUUUCAGCAUACUCCCUAAUUGACUACCCCAGGUCAAUUGUGCUAGUAAAGGAGUGAAAUAAAGUAGAAGAAAGAGAAUCACCAGUUCCUAGGUGUACUCAAUGAAACAAGCAAGGCAAGGUAGCACUCCAAUCUACGAGCUACUGCAAAUAGCAUAGCACUCCUUUGCUUUUGAAUCGAAAUAGUAAGUCUAAGCACCCGAACAAAACUCAACGAAACUUAUCGCUUAAGAUCCGCCAAACUCACUCACUAACGUACAAGUAUGAGUAAGCGUCCUGAACAACAAUAAGCUUAGCGCAACGCCUUGCUGAUUGUGAGUCUCAUGCACCCAAAAUUCUAUAAGAGCAUAACUUGGCUAUAAGAGCAUAACUUGGAGACCCAAUAAUAGACUAUUUUGCUUUACGAGGUUCUUUCCUUCUUUCUGGUGUUCCUUGAGACUCAACCUACGCAGGAACAAGUCAUCAAGUGAAAGGACUGGGAACAAGCAACUACUUAGAAAGUGACCUAUUCUUCGCUAUUAGUGAUACUAUUAGUUAUACUAUAUUCUGGAAUUACCUACUAUGCAACUAAACUCGCAUUGCCAAGUCCUGUGUUCAUAGCCGUAGUAAACAAAUUCCAUCAUUCUUUAUAUUGCUCUUGUCGUCUUGGCUGUUGGCUCGGUGCUAAUGGAAGUUUACAAUUAAGUCUACGAUGGAAGUUUCGUUGGGCUUUUCUCUAUCCUAUUAAGAAUCAGAGGUGUUGCAGUUCAGUUGCUUGGCAGGAGUUAGUUCGGCAAGUAAUAGGUAUAUCAGCAGAGUUAGCAUCAGUGUAAUCUUGUCUAGUAUAUGCUUGGUUGACGACAGUUUAUCCACUACAAACAAGAGAAAGCUUUCAAAUAGGCCAUUCUAUUUUCAAAGUCAAGAUGAUAGGCGUAAAGCUGUUAGUUACGAAGCGGGAAUAUCCGUUUUCUCAGAAGCGGGAAGUGGUGUUUCAAAGGGGAGUUCGACUCAAAUCCAACAAGCAGACUAGAAAGAAUGCAAUGACAACUGGAAUGGAUAGAAUUGAACCAGUACUAGUUAAGAUCGAAUCACUGUUGACAAGAACGGAACAGACAAAAGAAAGACUAAAAGUACCCAUCCACAGAGUAGAAUUAUGGUAGCGAGGCUUUACUACUAUUUAGAAGAAUGAGUUGAUGCAUCAGUGAACUAAACUAGAAACUAUAGUACCCGACCCACACCUAAAUUAUGAAAAACCCCAAGCCCCGACUUGUAGCUCAAGCACCGACUUAUAGCUAUAGUACCUCACUCCUAUUAUGAUUUAUUUGAAACGGAUCUAGUCUAUGAGUUAGAGUAUCCCUUUCCCUACUUAGACUCUUUAACUGCUGAACAUGGAUCUGACUCCCCGCUCUCAACACCUUACUAGUUACUGGCAUCCUCGCUUCUUGGCUUGUAAGUCUACUUCUACUUUCUGCAAAUCUUAUAUUCCUAUCUUUUUCUAUUUUUCUUGUUUUUACUUACUUCUAUUCUGUUAUUUGUUAUUUCCUAACUAUACCUUGAACAUUGGAUGAAACUAGAGCACCCAACUAUUAACUAUAGCACCGAACUAUUACUUGCAUUAUUACUGAUUCUAGAAAACAUAUAUCUUGACUCUAACCUGGCAUACACGCCUUAGCCCUCUAGAAAACCUAGUGAUAUUGAACUCAAUUCUGAACAUUCAUAUAUAAUAAACACGGAUUUGGAUCCUGACUUGAAAACGGAAACAGGAACAGCGGAUUCUUCCACGAAUACUUAGAGGAAACAGAGGAAACCCAUACUCAACAACGGAGCAACUUGAUCCAGCGUGAAGUGAGAAACAUCUAGUUGUUUACUUAAUGUCAUUGUGAGAUCAGUAGUGCAUCGAUCGCAGACGAAGGCACGGGCGCAACAGUAGAGCUGUGUAGGGAAACUCGUUCUGAAAGUGGUGUCGCGCAUUCCACCACCCAUUGGCGAAACAACGGGCGACCCGGGCUAUUAUAGCUCAUUCAUAGCAUCGGGCGACUGAACCACACCGGCACAAACAUCAUAGAUAAAAGAAAGAAUAACAAAAGCAGUUUUGUGCUAAAAAAGAGAGAAAAGAAGAGCUGUUUUUCGACUAAAAGAGUGUAGUGGUAGCGAGUUCAUCAGCACAGCACUAGUUGCCUAUGUAGUUGCUAAGGUUCACUUGGCCUGUUCCACUAAAGGGAUAAGAGAGAUUGAUUCAUUUACUGUUUUCCUCUGCGCUAACGGGAGCAGCAAGUGUAGUUCCUGUGUUACCGACGAAAGAAAAGAAAGAUUCUCAGAAGGAGUAUGAGCUGGAUCAUCAGCAGGAGUAGAUAAAUAGUCAAGAAAGUGAGUAGCAGAAUGUCCAAUUCCUGUUAGUUAUGUUGCUUAUUCGUUUCGCAUACUUGUUUCUCUGGCUUGUUCCUUCACUCUCCUUUCUUGGCACUUAACUCAUUAGUGAAACUCAUUAGUGAAGUUGUCAAUUCCAUUAUUUUAGUCAGAAACUCCAUUCUACCAGUCCUUUCACCUGGCCUACCAGUCCUUGAGCUUAACCCUGCCCCCUUAUAGUCAAGAAUUUCAUUGAACCUAUGGAGCACCCGGCUGAUGCUCUUUAUUAUGAUGGAUCUUCCGCUUGGGCCUCCGAUUCCUUACCCGCUCUUGAAACAACUUCUUUAUAAGAUGAUGAAACUGGGUAAGGGACUGCCGCGUAACUGACGUAGUUACUUGGCCGGGUCGGUAUUCCACUCAUUCUACUAGUCGUUGCUUGGCCCUUUGUAGCAGUAGCUUGGCCCUCUUUUCUUCUUCUUUAUUUGCCUCUAUUUUCUUACCAUAGAUGACAUAAAACUCUUUGUGGCUUACUUGGAACUCAAUUCUAUUAUAGAUAGACAGCAGCCGCCCACUACCCUUAUUUCUUCUCUUCUGAUUCCUACCCUUAUUUCUUCUCUUCUGAUUCUCUAUUCUCUGACUUGAUUCUUAUUGGAUUUUCUAUUCUCUGAUAAGUGCUUCCUGUAUCCGCUGGUAAGGAGCAGCUUUCCUAGAAAGAGUCCCGAAGUGCUUAUUCCUGGAAACGUCUAGCCGUUUAUCUAUGUAGUAAAGAAUACUUUUGGAUUUCAUAUCAAAUAGUCUCUUAGAAAACCAACUCCCUUUCCACUCUCUGAACUUUGACUUGCCAUGUCCUUCCUUAUAAUAGAACUGUCCUCUUUUCUUGGGGAAGUGCUGUAUCUGCCAGAAAGCUGCCAUCUUGUCUGAUGUCCUCUUGUUCUUUUCCAAGGAUUGCUUCGAAGGUGGGAGCCGGCUACUGGAUCUUUUAGUGUAGUUAGUAGUCGCCCUUCCCUCGAUUCAUAGACCAUGUCACCCAACUCCAAUUAUCCAAGAAGUGAUUUCGGUUAAAACGCCAUGCGACUUUGAGUAUAUAUGGAUCUUAUUUGAUUCGAAUGGAAAGACGGAGACCAAACCAAAACUCGUAAUAGAACCGGGAGCUUGAAUAAGAGCUCCUCAUAGUGGUAAGAACCUUUUACUAGGAUUGAUUCGGAUCCCGAGGGGCCUCUACAGGCGAAAGCAAAUAGUGAAGUAUAACCUGAUGCUCCGAUCGAAAACGAAUCCGUGGGGCCAUGCCGGGACGACGUCUGGGAUAUUAGUCUUUUGCCUCUUUCUCUUUCUGUCUCUGUUUCUGGUUGGAUUGAUGAGAAAAUAGAAUCCUGGGCCAACUCGAUCCCGAGGAAUGUUACCCUUUGAGCGGGUUCUUUCUGCUGAUCUUUCCUCCGUCGAUAAAAGAUCUUCUGAUAAGACUGACCCCGCAAACUUGUAAUUGAACCACUGAUCUCACAUCUGUAUUUGCUAUCACAUCUGUAUUUGCCCCCGGCACUACUGUUUUGAAUUGGACCCUUGCUCGCCUGUUAAAGAAACCAACUACUGCGGAUGAGACUGCUACAAUUACCUAUUGGUCUAUACCCUGGCUUACUGAAAUUCCUAAACUAUUGACUUGCAACCUAGCUUCUUAGCUGAGUGCGCUAACAUUCCUUUAUCUUAGCCCCAACCAAAAGGGAGUCUGGUAUAAGUAUGAGUUUUCAACGGGAGAGCUCCAAACAAGGAUCGGUAGACUUCACCUAGCAAGCGAGGAUCUUGUUAAAGUCCCUAUUCCGAGUCCAAUUAAGAUUAGGUUCUGUGCUCUUGUUUCAGCAUUGUCAGCAUAGGUGUAUUCUCUAUCCUCUAUUAGUGUUGUUAGUGGAAUACCGGUAGUACUAGCUUACUUCUAGUAGUUGUAGCCAGAGGUAUAGUAGCAAGAGUUAUAUGAGCCAGAGUCGAGGGAGAUAAGAAAGCAGCUUGUUUAGAUGAGCCAUAGGUAUAGGAUUUCAGAGUUUAGGGAUGUAGGAAGAGAGGUAUACCUCAUGAAGUUACUAGUUGCCAGCUGCUUGGCUUGUGGAAUUCCUAUACAAAGAAAGAAACUACUAGCUUGCCCUGUUCGUCAACUCCAAAGUGAGAAUGAAACCAGUGAGUCAAAGAAUGAAGCGAAGCAAGGAGGAAUUAGAUCCAGCAGUUCAAGAUGUUAGGAAGAAAUGACUUAUAAGGACAGUUUCUUAGGUUUAAUGGGAAAUCCAAUUCAAAACGGGGCACAGAUGAGCGGCCCUUAAGUUCCUAUAGCUCACGCGCCUAACUAGGCUUGGUCAUUAGUAGUUGCUUGGCCAUUUGUACUACAGGGCACAGGAAUACUUGUUUAGUCGUAGCUUGGCGGGAGUCCACGGAAACAGCUUCCUUACCUGCGCCAACUCAGGAUCUAGAUCUUUUCCACUCACUCGCUUCCCGCUUCUAAGCCCUUACGUGCACAGCCUCUGAUCCUUAUCCUUACUUUUCAUCAUCUACUAUUGGCUCUUCAUCACUUCUUAUUGCUGGCUCUUAAGCUCUUCUUAUUGCUGGCUCUUAAGCUCUUCUUAUUGCUUACCUUGGACAUAUCGUAUCGUCCGAAUUCUUUCAAUCCUACCCGGACAAGGAAGGAAUAAAGGCAAGGAGCUGAGAGCCUUUCAUGAAAAACAAGACCUUACCAGCUUGACCUAAUAGAGCGGGCAACUCGCUAGCUUCUUUUCUUGCGGAAUUUCUUAGUAACUGAAUUCGAAAGUGCAUCUCUGAAUCUUCCUAGCAUACCAAAAUGAACCGAAAGGAAAUCCGCUAUUGAACAACAUAUUCCGGCCGGCCCUCGUAGCUCUCUCUUUCUCUGUAGCAAUAUGGAUUAUGCCCUUCGUCUCAUAUAUUCUUUUUUAUGAAUAGAAGGAGAUUGUGAAUCAGUUGAAUUAGGUUUCGUAAAGUCAAGAUUGACCUUCUUUUUGAUACAGAAGAAGCUGUGAUCACUAUACUACAUUCUGGUUCUAGACCAAUAGAAUCAAAGAAACUGCUCUUUUUCACGCUACUUCGCAGCUAAUUCAUUCAUCCACAUCUGUAUCGCCUGCGAAUCCUUUUUCCAGCAAAGAGAAACACUUCUAGGCAUCAAUGCUAUAACUCCUGGCAAGAUCCGAGACGAUUCCAUUGACUUCAUUCUAACAGACUAUUUUGGGCAUAUCGCUCUACUGGACUUCUUCUUCCUAAGAUCAGUAGGCUUUACAAGGAUGCUCGUUUUUCUACAUGGGAGUACAUCCAAUAGGAAGCUUACACACACAUAGACUAGCCACACAACUAAACACAACAUUACAAAGUGAACUAACAACAUCUUAAGUUAACAAAAGACAUAGAACAUCAUGAAACAUAAGAAAGAAAAGCCAUGCAUUAAAACACACUACUUUGCUAAGACGGAAUACUUAUGGAAAUCUUAUGGAAAGAGUCGACGGACUGACUCUUCUAGUCUCCCUAGUGGAUCGGUGACCUAGGGUGACAGCCCGCACAAUGAGCGCUUGCUGUUCUGUAUUUGGUUUUGUAGAGAUAAAGCGCAUAUAAUCUUAUAUGAGAAUUCUCUCUAUAGCUGGGAAAUGUUCCCAGACCCAGCCUUUGCUCGCAUUUGAGCUUAUCGUUUUAUACCUUACUGAUUGAUUGCUCAAGGCUUUCCCGUCAGUUCGAGAUAUCCAUGUCUACUCAGACCCUAACUCUUGCUUUCCUCGCCUGAAGUCUUUAUCUCACCCUAACUCUUGCUUUCCUCGCCUGAAGUCUUUAUAUCUUUGCCUUGAGUCUACCGCGGCUAACUCGAAUACUGUUACAGCUGUCAGUAAGUCUGCCACUGCUGUCCCUAUUUCUUUAGCUACUGCCAAUAAUCAAAGAACUACUCAUUUUCAUGCUUUAUCCUAUGAUAGGGAAUCGAGCUGAGUAGACCAAGGCGGAAUAAGCCCACAAAGCUACUUAGGGUAAUCCAACUAAAUAUGUAUUUCCACCUAUUAUUUUCUAUGACUUGCUUUGAGUCUACCGAUACUAACCAGCAACCCUUACUGGCCUAUAAGCCCGCCCUUGCUUGAAACCUAUGCCCACCGAUCCUAAUUCCUAUUCUCUUGUGUUAGCCCGCUACUCCUUGAUCGAAAUCUGAUUUGACUGACCUUAAAGCUGUCUUUACUUCUUUUCAUUAUGAAAUUAGGUAGUUAGUGUUCUUCUAAGAAUGCAACCAUAAUGCAACCAUUAAUGAACUUCUCUUAUAUUAACAGUCGUUUUUCGAGUCUCCUUACUUCAUUUCAGUCGUUUUCAUAGUCUCCUUACUUAUUUAGUAGAAUACCUCAAUAUUGCACUACAGAAUUGACACCACAGCCAACAAUAUGGAACUAGUACCGGGAAGAAUCUAACCCGGGGCUAAGAGACUUUAACAACUACCUAGAAGACUUGACACAGCUUACUGGGAAUUCACUAUAACCUGAGAAUACUUUUACUUGGAAACUUUGAACUCGGGCUGAAACACUGACAUAUAGGAUCAUACUUGCAUCCCGUCUUCUAGCCUUACAUUACUUAUCUCGUUCUUUAACAGCUUACCUGGCAUUUCCGAUCUCAAAACUCCUUAGCUCUUGGUUGAGUAUGCCAAUCCCGGAAUUCUGAAACUAGUAAUAGCAAGACCUAUACAGCUACUUAUCAUAUAGAUACUCAAAACAAAGAAACCAACUACCACUUGAAAACUAGAAACUUGGAAUACGAACACCGGGGCAGCUAGCCUUAUUUGACUAUCCUCUGAGCCUUGCCUUAUUGUAUAUAAGAGUAGAGCUGGGGCUAAAAAGACCUUCCCUAACUGCGGAAUAGGAAGAACACCAAUACUACUAAGAAUAGAAUCUGGUCCCUUAGCUCGUUGUUGGCAUGCAAGAACCGAACCCAUGCAAAUAAUAAUUGAAACCCGUGCUCAUAAUAAUGGAAAUAGGAACAAGGACAAAAGGGAUACAAGCGCUGAUAACAAGGCUUUUUCACUAUUUCAAAGAGUGUAGCGGUAUUCCAAUAAACUAACCAUCUUGACUACCCCUACGCGCUUUAAGUCUCCUAUUACCUCCUUCUUCCCUGGCUAUUGGUAUUACUGCCCUAACUUCCUGUUUGGUAUUUGUCCCUGGCAGCCUUGCUUUUGGCCUGUAACUAACUUAUACCAUUAGUAAACUACAUUACUUUAAGUCUAUAACUAACUAACUCAACCGUAACUACUACUUACUAGGACCGAUUGCUAGCCUAUCUUUGCUUUCUCCUAAACUUAUACUGCUAUCGAUAAGAAUUUGAACUAGCGCACUAAGAGUGGAGAGAGACGCGCCCAAACAUAUAAGCAUUGAUUGAGACAACAGGUGAUCUAACUAUUACUACUAGCGGAAUGAAACAAAGAGGUAAGAUUGACUACCUACCUUAUAAGACUUAACUGCGCGUGUGAGGUCCGGAACUCCACUCCAUUCUACUAUAGAACCAACGUUAGCCGAAAACCGCAAGCAUUAUAUAGCAUCAACAGCUUUCAGGAACGAGCUCCUUUACCACACUCAGUAGACUCGGGAUCAUGUUGGGCACCUUCUCGGAUGUCGCCCUUGGAACUUACAGAACCAAGAUUUCUCAAUUCUAUCAAUACCAUCAACAAGCAAGUGAUAGAGAGAUGAGUCAGGAAGCUAUGCUCUGUAACAUUCAAUACCAUAAAAAAGCAAGUGCAAGAUAGAUGAGUUUAGAAGCCAAAGGGAAGCAGUGUGUUUCCUUUCUUAUAUGAGUGAGAUGCCCAUUAGUCCAAAAUCCAUUACUGAGUAUGGGGGGCGCUAACAUAGUUUUACGGAAGGGAUACAGUGCAGAGUAUAGAACAAGUCAUUAUGGAAUCUUAGGAGUAACUCGUUAAUGGGAGCUCUGCGCUCGCAAGUCCUGUUGCUUGUGUCCAAGGGUUUUCUAUCAACCAGUUUAGCCUUAGCGAGUUUAGCAUAAUAUAAGUCAGAGAAAUUCAUUAUUGGAAGUAUUUGUAGCUUCAGCGUUAGCGUUAAGUAUUUCCAGUUUUCAGUGAGUUUACAACCGAGUCUAGUAUCCUUGGCAAAGAUGCAUCUAAAGGACAUAGGCAUUAGGCACCCGCCCCGAACUCUAUUACAAGGGAAAGGAAAGGCAGACAAGCAACUACGAAUUGAGUAAAGACACAGUCGUUCUUUUUCCUCAGUUAGGUCUUCCCCUUGUUUCUAUCCUUAAUAAUAGUGGAAUCCAUAACACUUACGCUGCUUCUUGUUGAAAGGUAGUCCAAUUCCGAUUCUUUAGAGGCAGACUCAGAACUCGGCCGCUAACACUUCUUGUUGUUGUUGCGGGAUAAGGUUAGGCAGAUAAGAAUAAGAGGGAAGAGGCGGGGUGUAAUAGAAUAAGUCACUAACCACUCCUGGGACGGAUGCGGAUUCUAGACUUGUAAUAACCAUGCGCUUGUUGCUAACGCCAUAAAGACAGGACUCGUGGAGCCUAUAAUACCGACAGACACAUUAUUCUUUUGUGCCUCUUCUUGCCUAGUAGACCCCUUACCCUCGCUGAUCACUUAGUCUUGGUGGAGUCCCGAGUCAACCCUUGACUUAUUAGUAGAAUUCUGACGAUCACCUAAAUUCUUAAAGGAAAGGAAGGAGUCACUAACUUGUCUAUAAGGGCAAGCCGACAAGCUACUCUGUUACUUACUUGUUCCAUUCUGAUAUCUCUAUCUCUAUAUGCCCUAUUGUGGUAAGUAAACUAUAUGUAUUAUGACCCUAGUUGUUUUCUUAUCGGCUUCGGCGGAUUCUCUUGUGAAACAGCUGAUUCCCUUUCGGAUUCCCCUUGAAAACAGUACUUGAAGACAACAAUAAGCACUUACCGGUGAAGAAAGAUAUUAUCACUGCAAAAGCUAAUGCUGCCCUUAAGUAAUUGGUCGCUACUUACUACUAAGCUUUCCCCGAGUAUCAAUGAGUGUUUCCCCAUAAGAAAGAGGAGUUGACCCGAGUUAGAGAUUGUGCCCUUUUUACUGGGAAAGAAGCCUUAUUGAAGCGCGUAAGCUUAAAUGACUAUAGUUAGUGGCGGGCGUGAGCUUUGAAAAGAAGAUAUGGUUCCACCUUUCUGAAUAUAGAACUUUCAUAUAGAACAAAUUAUUGUGUAAGUAUAGCAAAGGUGCGUGCUCGGCUUUCCCUUGUAGUGGUCCAAGCAUCAAAGUGAAGUGAGGAUGCGGUCGCUCUUUCUGUCGUAUAACAAAGAAUGCGACGCCCACUAUGCGCUUAAGGGCAUAAGAUAGUCAAGGCAAGUAAGCUAUAAGUCCUUCUUGUAUUUCUGCAGUAUAAUCAUAUAAGGGAGUUUAGUAUAGAAUUAAGUAAUAUUCCUAGUCAUAAGUUCGAGUUGACGACUUGUUCUUUCUGGAAACUCGUAUUCCGUACUUACCUUACCAUCACCAACAAACACUAGUCCUGCAACAGAUCCGUCACCUGAUCAGAAAACAAACUUAGUAUGAUCUUUAUCUUGUUUCUGCGCCCCAACUUCUUAUCCUUAUUUUGAUUCCUCGACCCGACCUCUCUAUACUGGAGGAAUUGUUUGCUCACUGGCUUUUAACAACACCGCUACUAGUUGGGGAUUCUGAAAGAUCUGAUAUCGUAGCCAACACAGAGGAAACUCGAACAGCUUCUAUAUACGCCAACUAAGGUAAAGUUCACAAAAAAGAAUAGCAUACGCCCUAACUAAGGUAAAGUUCCAAAAAAGAAGAGUUGCUGGGCUGGGCGCUAUCACUACAAAGGAAAGUGCCAAUCAAUCACCUAAACCUACUCUCCACUUAGUACGAGCACCCAAAGCAAAGAGACGAAUAUGAAAUGGGGGGAUGCAGAACGAGUAUGAAGUACAGAGCAGAUGCGCGAUUCCCUUGCUGGUUCCUAAGCUAGUUUCCUAGGCCUAUCAAAAUCAAGGUUAGGUGAAGACAUAAAGGGCGAGAUGAGAUCUACUAGAAACUUUUGCUUGAUACAACACCGAGAUACAGAUAUGAUUCUGCAAGAAAAGAACUACAUGAAACCCACUCAUCGGCUCUUUUAAUGCAUUUUUCCGAACAUAUUUAUGUGCUCCAGAGUUGUAAGUGCGUAUAAGAGUUGUAAGUGCGUAUAUAAGUCUGGACUUGAAUGACCAAGCAGACGCCAAGUCACUACUAGACGCCAGACAAGGAACUACUAACCGCCUUUUCCCUCGGUUCACGACCUGAGUGGACAAAGAAGACCAUUGAUUGACUAUUGUUUAUCGAGAAAGAAAUGUAUGCACGCUGAGAUCCCCGUAAGCUUGUGAAGCACUGAAUGAUACUCUUAGUUAGAUGGAAUUUCAUCCACUCGAGGGGGAUAAUUUCAUUGUAUACAAUAAGCUUGAUGCCUGAGAAAUAGCAAGGAGCUAGUCCUUUUGGCUAUGCCUUUUUCUUUCUUCGUCCAGAAGUUCCUGGUUUUGCAAAGCCUGCUGUCAUUUGAGCUGCUCCUACGCCCUAAGUCAAAGAAAAGAGAGAGGAGAGAGAGGUACCGACGCAAGACGGGCAGACCUCAAAGGAUCCUCCAGAGGGAACAGAAUUGUUUCAUAGAAGAUACUUACUGACAUCUCAAGGAAUGAAUGGAAGAGAGCUGCGGUAGGAAUGAAUGGAAGAGAGUAAGGUGGCAUGUGGGAAGAGAGUAAGGUGGCAUGUGUUGUUAAUCCAUUUUGGCAGGAUGUAUAUUAGAAUGAAAUGCAGUUUAGAGUUAGCUGUUAACAAUCAGAUCUUAUAGGCGCUAAGAGAAGAGAGAGAAAAAGCAACGAAAAAGAGAAUGAAAGUAUAGCGUUAGUGAGUGGAGCCUAAGGAACUAUACGACAACGACAAUAAGAAUGAGACUCGGUAACAAAGCUAAACAAGCACCUCGAAACAAUAAGAGGAGAUUCGGUAACAAAGCGAAACUCAAAGAACUCCGCGAAACUAGAAGAAUUAGAUUCGGUAACAAAGCGAAACUCAAAGAACUCCGAAACUAGAAGUUGAUACAUGCGCGCCCUUACCCCGGAGAGUAAUAUGUGAAUAAGCAGGUUGUUUAUACAAUUCGAUAACAGGUGCAUUCAAUUCAAGUUGACAGAGCACUCGCCUGUCCUUUGUUGCGCUCCAAGUUAAGUCUAAAGUAGAGUUGCCUGUUGCAAGAGAAGUCAGAGAGUCGCCUGUUGCAAGAGAAGUAAGAAGUAGAGUAUAAAGUAUGGUUUUUCAACCUCUUGUUAGUGCUGGAUAAGUCUCGUAUUAAGUAUGGUUUUUCAACCUCUUGUUAAUGCAAGAGAUAUGGAGUAUAAAGUGGAGUAGCCUCUGGAGUAAGUAAUAGAAAGGGUGCCUCAUCAAUUCAAUGGUUAGGGAAAGGAAGAACUUAGUUUUGAAGCAAAAGGGCAUUGAACUCGCUAACGCUAAAAACAGGAUUGGAUUCUUCCCUUCUGCCCUGAACCAACAAGCAAGUAAGUCAACCACAAUAACUAGUAUGUAAACCAGCCUAUCUCUUAACUAGGCAAAACUACACCCCUCAACUUACAAAUAAGGGCACAAGAACAGAAAUGGAGCCAAACAUCUUUAACAAGAACAUCUGGAUCUGCCCUUGACUAUUAUAAUUGGGAAAGUGAACUACUCUUAAAGUCGAGCCUCUCUCUACUCUGGCAACAAUGCAUUUCACCCUGCUUGCGUCUACUGAUCUGGUUGACUUCACUCUAACUGCUGCUGACAGUAGUCUCCACUCAAUGUAACAACUGCCAAUUAAGUACUAUGGCCCAAUUCUAUGAUACCCUCGGGCUCUCAUUAAACUCUGGCAACAAAAACUAUGUCUCUCAAAAUGAAAUGAAAUCAUGCUUUCUUGCUCUAGCAGGGUUUCUUGCUCUAGCCCUUCAUUCCUAUACCAGUAGCUUGCCCCCUUGUUUCAUCUUAUUCUUCUAAAGAUAAAGAAGUUGUUUCAAGAGCAGGUGAGGAAAGGAGAGUUCUGGUUUUGUCUCCGAGAUCAUCAGCAGUAUCAAGUUGAGUUCUUGUAGAGGUGGUAAAAAGGAAUCAGAAUAAUCUUAAGAAUCAGAAGAAGCUAUUCGAAAGGAAGCAGCAAGUAGAGAGUCAGAAAAACUUAGAAGCGAUAUGUGCACUUCCACCAGCGCAGGAGCAAGCCAAUCACCUUAACCUGACCUUCGAACUAAUCCGGAUCUAUCUUAUAAUCUAGAACUACACUUUCCUUCUUAACCGAAAGAUGAAACUACAACCGACCCCGACUCUCAUUGCAAAGCAUCUUAGUCUGCUGGAACUUGGGAACUUGCUUCAAAACUCACUCCUAGCACCCAGAAACUAGAAAGUCAGAAAAGAAUGCAACUGUUAACUUACAUAGAAGAGAGUAACCAACUAGAGCAUGAAAGUAGACAAGCAACAGUACUAGAGCAACAAACCCAGGGAUCGGAGCGCCUUCGCCCCGCAUCUAAGAGAGAAGUUGACUUAACGCCCAAACUCACGUAUCAAAUGAAAUGAGAAUAACUAUUGUACUUUUUAGAUAAAAAGAGAAUAACGAGAGCUGCUUUUGGCUCUAAUUACACUAAGCAAAAAAUCAGUGGAAUUACUAUAAUCAAACUACUGGCUCUGCUCUAACUGCUGACCUUGCCUCUCGCUUCCCUUUCUUCUUAUUAAGUACACUGCUUCCCUUGAUGGACGCACACAGGACGUUGUUCACUACUACUGCCCAUUCGGUUCCUAUAACUUCAUUCUUAAACCACAUAGCAAGUAGGCUAGCCACUACUGAAAAGCAGAAUUGCAUCGGUUUCAAGAUCUGACUUAGUUUCAAGAGCAGAUAGAUGCCGAAGCGGGAAUAUCCGUUUUCUCAGAAGCAACAACUGGUGGAUCUGGCCCAGCUAUAACAGCUUACCUUUGACUUGCCCCAACACAUUCCCCAUCUUGCUCUGCCCCCCCCAACGAAAGGCUGUUGAAAUUCAUUCAUUAUUAAUAACAUUUUCUUUGACCGGGAUGCACUAUCUUAAACAAGCAAGCAAAGAAUAUCCUUCCCAUCUUGCUACCAAUAUAGGUGCGGAAACUUCACUGCUUACGGAAACUCACGUUAGAGCACUUGUUCGAACUUAACUUUAAGCGCGUCACUAAUGGAAUUCGCUAACGCCGAAAACGGUUAACUUGCUUAUUUAUUACUGUUACUAAUGCCGACUCAGAUAGGAAUUCGACUAACUUGCUUGCUGAACUCACCAACUAGAAAUAUUUCCAGCGCCGAGGAAAACUAAGCUCAGAAUUAAUUGAACAUUGAUUACUGAUGUGCAUAUAAUAGAUGAAUGUCAUAAAGCUGCUCAUCUCGCAGAUAAUAGAUAUGAAUGUUACAGCUGCAUUGCUUCCUUUCCUUUUUUUAGCACCCCGAGAAUCAUCCAACGCACCAUUCACUAACGCCAGGUUGCUUCUCUUGGCGCCGCUCCAUGCUUUCCCUUAACCUUUUCAUGUUCAAUAUUACUGGGAAAUCCAAAGUAUUAGUAUUUGGGGAUCUAUUUUCUUAUUGUUUCAGGAGCACAAGCAACGUUGUUCCUAAGUGCUUGUUGAGUUCUUUAGUUCGCUAACGCUAUUCAUUGUUUCAGGGGCGAUAUAACUAUUUAUUGUGUUUCAGGGUGCUGAUCUGAUAUGAUUAACUUAAAUGCUCUCUUUUGAAAAUCCAUAAAUGUAUUUGGAUUCUAUUAGUGUAGUUGUUAGUCUCAACAAUUCUUUUCUUUUGAGUAGAGGAGAGAGAGCGGCUUAUUAGUUAGUGGUGAUUUGAAGUUUCGUAGUGUUGUUACUUUCAUUAUAUCACAUAGGCCAGAUAGGCUCAAAAGAGAGGUUUUCCCUAGUUCAACAAGUCAACUGUGAGUAAGCUGUGUUGUUAUUGAAUUCUAUCAUAUGCCAAAGAUAGGCUAAAGAAAGAGGCAUGUAUGCUUUCUUCCCCUAAUGCCAGAUAACAAAGAGGUUUUCCCUAGUUACGAAGAUAGCUCCAUUCUAUUAAUUAAAGCAAGGGAACCAUCAAGACGUUCUUCAAGUUUUGUUUAAGUGCUCUAGUAUUAGUAUAGUGAACUUUGGAACUCACUACAACUGUUGCUACUAGAUUAUUGCCCCAACUCAACCAACUUUCUUUCAACCUACCUAAGAGCUGACAGUUUCGAUUCUUGCGCCGAGCUAUCAUAGCAUAUAAGAUCUUAUUCAUAUUAAAAGUAUCUGAAAAACCCCUAUAGAUAUAUUAUUAGCUUUUGCCGACCCCUUCUGGAAGUGAGGAACCUUGUUUGUUUGGCACUGCGGAUUCAGCCAUACUUUCCCCUUUACUAGUUUGAUUACGGACUUCUUCUUCCCAACAUAGCUAGUUAUUAGUAAGUGUCGCUACACCUUUUCUAGUUCGGGGGCUUAAUGAUGGAUUUGCCAUAAGAGUCAUAUUGAACAUAGGCAUACGGGUUUAAGCGAUGCAAAAAGGCAACUAUCGGGAGGGGGUGCUUGAACGCCGUUACCUCCAACACUUGCUCACUCUGUUACUCCUUACUAAACCACUCCAGUUAGCACCGAACUUAUCUAAUGACCCUAAAUUCUAUACUCAAUCAACUUGUUCUGCUUUUGUCGUCGCUUGCUGCUUCCUUUCGAACUCUACAAACUCAGACUUGUUCCAUUGCUUCCUCACUCCUAACUCUAAACGGGAAUCUAUCAGCUAGGCAACCCCUAUCCCUAUUUCAAAGAACAUGCGAUUUGUGCACCGCUAUCCAUCCCCACUUAAGAACUCAGCUCAGCUAGGCACCGCUAUCCAUAACAAACUUAAUGAAAACUGUUCAAUUCCAAAUAACAACUAUCCAUAACUAACAACACUGUGAAACUACAAUUCACCACUAAUGAACUCCGAACCAUAAGCCUUUGUUAGCGCCAUGGCCCUGAGACGAGACUGACUCCUUAUUUGAAACAACGAUCAGCAACCGGCAGUGCUGUAAUGUAAAGUAAAGGAUAGGACUAACCAAUGGACAACAUCCUAUUUUGGAACAUCUUGAAGCUAAUUUCUAACACGAGUUUUGUUUUGUUUAUAAAGCCUAAGUCAGCAGGGCAGUAAGCAGUUUCGUUUUGUUGGAUGGAGCAUAGAGAGCAAGUAAUGGCGAAAGCCUAAGUAAGUGCUUAGGGGAGUGAAGUUACUACAGUCAGGUUACUCCUCUGCCUAAGGGCUAAUGCGAGUUACUACAGUCAGGUUACUAUCCUUUUUCUACAAAUAAGUUAUGUGCACUAGAUUCAACAAGCGAAUUCUACAGUUAUAUGCUCUUAUAGAGAGAUAGAAUAGAUGAUUAAUAUGACCCUAACAGUUGUUGCAAGAGAAGCUGUAUCCGGUUUAGUAGAAAGUAUUGUAUCGGGGGCAAGCUACGUAUAGACUGAACCCUGACUUAAGGCAGAAGCGGAAGAACCACUUACUGCUUAUUGAAGUGAAAGAACCACUAGAAUCAUUAAGUCCAAUAGCAUCAACUAAGGACUCAACAAUAGCUCCGUAAGCGCCAAGCACCAUUUCAUUCGAAUAAGUAAAGACUCUCGUAGCUCUGGAGACAAUAUAGCCUUCCAGUGACGGAGCAAGCAAUCCGAUAAGAUAAGGAAGGGAUAAGGCAACAAGCAACGUGAAACUCGGCUGAAACUGCAAGUCAAACAAACAGAAUUGCAUUUCAUGUUGACCCGCUUGUAGCUUACUUUGGCACCUCUGAUUCUUGAGUGAACUUUCCUGCCUCAGAUCCAUACUGGGAAUCUAUUUCUGAUUCUCGAAUUACUUAUGUUAUUGCAGCUGACUUACUUGCGCACUAAACAUCACUUUAGGAACCUGAACCACUACUUUAAGCGUUGUACCCGGCUUCCUUACCUGCUCUUAAAACUUCCACUAAUGAUUCAUUCCCAUCGCCAAUACUAAGGGGCUGGAAACCAAACUAGUAACUACUAAACUAGCAACUACUUAAGACUUUACCACAAGACAUAAUUGACUACUUGCUGAAUGAGGCUCAUCUAACUCAGGAGUCAAAGAAAGGCCAAGCAAAGGCGCGCCAAGCAACGACUAACUCUUUCACUCCUUUACUAAUUUACUUACCUCAAAACAGCUAAUGAAUUAAGUCUGACUCUUAUCCUUCUUUCUCUUACUCUUAUCCUUCUCCAGCUUCUAAGUAAUACUCUUAUCCUUCUCAUCCUUCUGAUGAUACUUAUCCAGUUUGCUUCUUCAAUGGGCACCGAGUCUGGGCCAGAUCUAGCUUAUGAUCUUUAUUCAGCUGAUUACUUUAUAACAGGCAAUUAUCCAAGUUCACCUUCCGGAAAAGAAUUCAUUGAUUAUUGAGCACCGGGCUCCUGCCGUUUUGAACUAUCUACCGCCGAACACAGGACUUUACAUAACAUGCCGCAAGCUAUUACCAUCGCUCGAAAUUAGGACUCCAUAACUGAACCUCUAUCGUCACCAACACAGGCACCCGCCAAUACUAGGCUAAACGGGACCCAUACGAGGCACCCCAGUGGACGCAACUUAGUAUUCAACCACAGGCGCUCCCCCAAUAGGCACAACUCAGUACUUAAUGUUGCUUCUCUCUUGAUAGUCUUCAUCCCUUAGUUUCAUCCGUUCUCCUAUAAUAUAAUAUAAUAGAAAUAGAUAGGGACCAAGCGUAUACUAGUUGUUGAGUCAAGUCAAACUCUAUUUAGAAUCUAUUUUAGGAAUAGCCCCCUUAUAUAAGUAUUGAAUAGAGGCACCCUUUGUUGAACAAAUCUCUCCCCUCAUAGUCGUUUUUAUAAGUAAGAGUUGACCUCGCUCUCGCUAACCUGGUGCUAUCAAUUCUGCAAUUCUUACAGGCAAUGGUGAGGAAUAAAGGGAAGAAAGAUAAUCGUAUAAAGUAAGCAGGGACAGAAAGAGACUCGUCUCCAACAACAAGAACAAGAGCUGGGCUACCGGGGUUUACAUCGCCAAGUGUAGUUCUCUGAUCUUCAGAGCUCAAAUCAAUUCCAUUCCUGUGCCCCUAAGUGAUUGGUGUCCUGGGUAGAGCAACUGUAACUGUCUUACAUCCUCUGUGCUAAGGGAGUUGGGCCAUAGUACAUAAUUGCUAGCGCAUCUAGUAUCUAAUGAAUGGAAGGCCCUAAUACAUAAUUGGUAGCGCAUUACCCUUCCACUCUGAUAGGUCGGCAAGGGAAGAAAGAUCUGAUUGCACUCCGCCGCAACAAGGCAUCUAAGGCAACUCAAUGGAAUUUGUUUACUCGGUCUCAGGGAAGGGAAUAGAUUUACCAGACUCCACUCGGGAUUUCACUCUUACUUUAACUUGACCUGGACUACUACUUGG
rnacentral:lncRNA from 1 species